GACACCUUCUCAAGGUGUGAACUACAAUGUUUCAGGACAUUCUGAUGUUGAAUUCCAAAAUAAGAGCCCCCCAAACUCGAAUAUUAGAUGUUUUGUUUACACAUUCAGAAAAUCAUAAAAAUAAAAGUCCUAGUUUCCACAGACCAAUUUCACCUCAGGUGGGGAGGACACCUUCUCAAGGUGUGAACUACAAUGUUUCAGGACAUUCUGAUGUUGAAUUCCAAAAUAAGAGCCCCCCAAACUCGAAUAUUAGAUGUUUUGUUUACACAUUCAGAAAAUCAUAAAAAUAAAAGUCCUAGCUUCCACAGACCAAUUUCACCUCAGAUGGAGAGGACACCUUCUCAAGGUGUGAACUACAAUGUUUCAGGACAUUCUGAUGUUGAAUUCCAAAAUAAGAGCCCCCCAAACUCGAAUAUUAGAUGUUUUGUUUACACAUUCAGAAAAUCAUAAAAAUAAAAGUCCUAGCUUCCACAGACCAAUUUCACCUCAGAUGGAGAGGACACCUUCUCAAGGUGUGAACUACAAUGUUUCAGGACAUUCUGAUGUUGUCUUCCAAAAUAAGA